GGCUGUGAUGUGCCCAGAGUGUGUUUCUAGACCAGGACUGGCUGGGUAAGUGUCUCUGUGUCUAAACAGGUGUGAGAGAAAUGAGGCAGGUAGGACGGAGGGCUUGAUUCUGGCCAGAGAACUACCAUGACUCCUGGGGCUGCACCGGGAAAAUGUGUUUGCAGAUCACCCUGGCUGAUCUUGCAUCACUAAACCCCUGUGCCUUGCUGGCAUUUUUAGUGAGUUGGCCUGGUGGAAGUACAAGACUUCAUUGUUUGAGGACAUGAGUUUUGCAGGGUGUGACUUUGCCAUUUCUGGAUUUCAGGGCACAGUGCCUCUGUUUAGUCUCUUGGGGAUGACUGUGCUCCCCUCCUUGAGGCGUGCUUUGGGUCAGAGCAUACUGGGACUUGGCUAGCCUCUGGCAAAGGCAAAGGAGGGAGGCGAUGCCUCAUUGUUUUAUUACUUCUUUCUUGGACUUGGGCCGGAGUGGAGGAUGGGAGCGGGCCAGGCAGAAGCGGGCCAUGGGGAGAUUCCAGAGAGACUGAUUGAUCUUGUCAAAAAGAAUAAAGUUGUUCUCUUCUGCACUUCCUUGAUUACAGGUGUAAUGAGUGGGGGAAUGGGGAGAAUGAAAGCUGAAUGCCCACUUGCACAGAAACCAGCUCCUGUCUUGGAAAUUCCGACUUGUCAAAUAGGAAAACAGUCACAACAAGCAAAAUAAGAAGAUGUCCUUAACCUCUGAAGCUAAUAACGCAUGCAGACCGCUUCUGUCCGAGGAUCCGUUUGGAGGCCCCUGCCUCUGCCUGCAGUGAUUGCCCACCGCCCAGCGGACUGGCCCUACUUCCUCACACUCCUGCCCUAAAAGACGUACCAUUCAGUUCAAAGGGGCGCGUUGCUUUCCAAAGUCAACAUUCAUCUCCUAUUUGGAGAGUUCUCAGCCAUCCUUUCUCAGCGUGUCGUAAGGAGGAGCAGCUUGCACUGGGAUUGAGGAGACCCUGUCUUCAGUUCUAGUUCUUCUUCUUCUAGCUGCGUGACCUUGAACAUAUCAUUGAACUAUUCUGGGCUUUAGUUUCUGCAUGUAACAAGGGGUUUGGCUAGGUGGUCUCUAAGAUUCCUUCUAGUUACAACAUUCCAUACUAAGUCUCUUCCCAUUUGAAAAUAAACUUUUUAUUUUAGACUUACA
rnacentral:lncRNA from 1 species